UUAAAUUGAAGAGUUUGAUCAUGGCUCAGAUUGAACGCUGGCGGCAGGCCUAACACAUGCAAGUCGAGCGGAAACGAGUUAUCAGAACCUUCGGGGGACGAUAACGGCGUCGAGCGGCGGACGGG
rnacentral:rRNA from 1 species